rnacentral:rRNA from 1 species
CAAGUCGAGGGGCAGCAUGACUGUAGCAAUACAGUUGAUGGCGACCGGCAAACGGGUGCGGAACACGUACAGAACCUUCCUUCGAGCGGGGAAUAGCCCAGAGAAAUUUGGAUUAAUACCCCAUAGUAUUAUGGAGUGGCAUCACUUUAUAAUUAAAGAUUUAUCACUUGAAGAUGGCUGUGCGACUGAUUAGGUAGUUGGCGGGGUAACGGCCCACCAAGCCUACGAUCAGUAACUGGUGUGAGAGCACGACCAGUCACACGGGCACUGAGACACGGGCCCGACUCCUACGGGAGGCAGCAGUAAGGAAUAUUGGUCAAUGGACGAAAGUCUGAACCAGCCAUGCCGCGUGGAGGAUGAAGGUCCUCUGGAUUGUAAACUUCUUUUAUCUGGGAAGAAACCCAUGGUUUCUACUGUGGUUGACGGUACCAGAUGAAUAAGCACCGGCUAACUCCGUGCCAGCAGCCGCGGUAAUACGGAGGGUGCAAGCGUUAUCCGGAUUCACUGGGUUUAAAGGGUGCGUAGGUGGGUUGGUAAGUCAGUGGUGAAAUCUCCGAGCUUAACUUGGAAACUGCCAUUGAUACUAUUAAUCUUGAAUAUUGUGGAGGUCAGCGGAAUAUGUCAUGUAGCGGUGAAAUGCUUAGAGAUGACAUAGAACACCAAUUGCGAAGGCAGCUGGCUACACAUAUAUUGACACUGAGGCACGAAAGCGUGGGGAUCAAACAGGAUUAGAUACCCUGGUAGUCCACGCCCUAAACUAUGGAUACUCGACAUACGCGAUACACUGUGUGUGUCUGAGCGAAGCAUUAAGUAUCCCACCUGGGAAGUACGAUCGCAAGAUUGAAACUCAAAGGAAUUGGCGGGGGUCCGCACAAGCGGUGGAGCAUGUGGUUUAUU